UCAAAUAAUGAGAAGAUAUGUGACAUUUACUAACAUAGUACAACAUAAACUUACACCUUAAUCCAUGUGAUAAGGAGUAGUAUUUUACAAUAUAAAGCUAUCAAUCUCAUUGUUUAUUUGAACCAUCUCUCCUUAAUUCUUUCCUGUAGAAAUUUGUGGAUGAUCCUGCAAUUGAAAAACCCAAAUGUGCAGUAAAACAACCAAGAGAAAACGGAUGCUAAAAGAAAUCACACUAAAAAAAAUCAAUUGAAAUUAAGCAAUCACUGUGCAUUUGAUAUACCCUAAAGUGACGUACAAAUGCCAAUUGCCAAAAAAUUUAAGAAACCAUUUUGAAAUUAAGCAGACAUUGUUGUAAUAAGAAAAAACCUCAAAUGUGCAGUAUAAUUGAAAUUAACUCCAAACAAUUGAAGUAAACUGUUAGGCAAGGUAAAUUAACUCCAAAUAAUUGAAAUUACCAUUUGUGUGCAUAUAAGAAUGUAGGCGAGGGAAGGAGGAGAAUGGUAGAAUAGCAUUUGAUCUGGUUUCAGAAGAGAGAGAUAGAGAUAGAAACGGAGACGAAGAAUCGAGUUGGAUACAAAUUUGAUGUUCGCAAGGACACUCUAUGUCCCCCUUAUAUUUGGUUGUCUACCACUUUCUAAUCUCCCUUUGUAAACUGAAAAUUAGUUCGGUGAAAGAGGAAUAUGUACCAAUUUGAGAUGAUUCUAGACGACAAGAGCAAUCUGACGGAAAUUUGGAAGAAACUUCGAAAAAACUUGCGGAGGAGAUUGGUCUGUGUAGGAGAAGAAAAUGAAUUCGUUUACCUUUUUUGUAUGUGUUGCCGGGGGGGGGGGAGAGGGUGGAGUGACCGUUGCUCACUUUAAACAUGCGGUAUAUGGCAGUUCCGUUUCUGCAGUUUGCAAUUGCUGCAACUGCUGUGGAGAGUUCCAUCUCUGCAAUUUGCAACCGCUGCACCUGCUAUUGGGAGUUUGUG
rnacentral:lncRNA from 1 species